CCUACGGGUGGCAGCAGUGAGGAAUAUUGGUCAAUGGCCGAGAGGCUGAACCAGCCAAGUCGCGUGAGGGAAGACGGCCCUACGGGUUGUAAACCUCUUUUGUCGGGGAGCAAAGCGAACCACGUGUGGUUCAUUGAGAGUACCCGAAGAAAAAGCAUCGGCUAACUCCGUGCCAGCAGCCGCGGUAAUACGGAGGAUGCGAGCGUUAUCCGGAUUUAUUGGGUUUAAGGGGUGCGUAGGUUGUUUUAUAAGUUAGCGGUGAAAUACCGAUGCUCAACAUCGGGGCUGCCGCUGAUACUGUAGGACUAGAGAUCGGAUGCAGCAGGCGGAAUGUGUAGUGUAGCGGUGAAAUGCAUAGAUAUUACACAGAACACCGAUUGCGAAGGCAGCUUGCUAGGCCGGAUCUGACACUGAUGCACGAAAGCGUGGGGAUCGAACAGGAUUAGAUACCCCAGUAGUC
rnacentral:rRNA from 1 species